AUGGUCCGGCUACAUGCACACGUUUAUGCACAUGCUGAUGAUUACCAGGCGAUCCCUGAACUGAAAGCAGGGGCGAAGGCAGGGCGGUUGGAGGAAACCCUAGCCGGGGCUGCCCGCACCUUCUCCCUGCCUUCAUCUCCCCUCGCCACUGCCGGAGGGCACCGCCGGGCGAAGCCCAACUGGCAGCAGGGCCUCUUAUCCCUCCUCCCCUGUUGGCUACGGCACGGGGACAUGUUGAGCGGGUGGGGAGCGCGGCAUUCUCGCAGGGCAUUGCGACGGUGUCUCGGACAGCCGGGCCUUGGACGCGGCAGUGCGUGGAAGCGGCGGCGGCGGCUGCGUGGCACAGGUGGCGGGGCAGGCCGACGCAGCAUGAUGGCGGGUGCCAGUUUCGUUAGAUCUGGCGCUUGGAGUCGUAGGCUGUGGGCAGCGAGGGCCGCUGUCCUCCGUCAUGGCUACAAUGGUGUCGGCAUGGUGGACGCAGCGGAAGACCCGCACACCCCGCCGCUUGCCGCUCCGGCACCGGCGACCACGCUAGCCGUCGCCCUCCGCUUGGGAGGUGGCGCCACCAAACCGUCGCUGUCGGCCCCGGUCGCGACGGGCACCCCAGCUGAGGUGUGCACGGUCGUGUCGCAGGAGUGUUUGACCCGUUCCGACCGCCACUUGUUUCUCGUAGCCGCCGGCUGGUAUCUCUCCUUCCUCAAGUUUCUCGUUGCCUUUUUUCUUGUUGUUGUUGCCCCCCUGCUCCGUCUGCAUGUUGUCGCUCUGUUGCUUGCUCUGAUUGUUGCUCGGGUGGAUCAUGCACACCCCAUGGAGGGCUUGCGCUUCCAGGAUGCUAUGCUGGCAAGGUAUGGUUGCGACACCGUUGAGGCCGUUGCUGGUCGGUGCAGACCAGCCGGAGUGCUCGCUGUAGUGCUGAACGAUGGUGUCUUCCUCUCGCCGGAGUUCUUUGCUUCUCUCCUGGUCAGCUGGUUCGGUGGCUUCGCCAACGGCUAUCCUGUCCGGGCCCAACGGUCUGGUUGUUUCUUUUUUCAGGUCGCGCAUGCGUGUAUCGCCAAAGAGAUCAUGCUCCGCGAUUCUUGGAGGUACGGUUUGCUCCGUGUCAAGAUGUUGCUUUCUGACUUGGACCCUGGUUGCAUCCCCCUGAUUGAUCCUCGGACGAUUGCGCGAGGCCCGGACUUGGCUGCCAACUCCAAGCUGCCAUCGCUGCUUGGACCUGCUUCGGGGUUGGGUCACGUCGCUGAUCGGGUGCAAUCAAUUGAUAUCCUGCCACAGGCGGCCCGUGCCCAGGUUUUCGGGGGGUCUGGCACGGAUCUGCAUGCCUUGGGGGCCGAGCGGGCGUUUGACCUCCCCGUGCGUGAUCAAGUGUCUGGCCUUAAUCCAUCGCGUUUACCGAUGUCGCCGCCCGCUGGCCAAUCAUCCCCGUCGCCCCUUCCCGUCGCUCCUAUGGAGCCUGUGGUUUGCGGCCGCCCCACCUCGCUCGACGUCCACUACCCCAUGGUUCCCGACCAAACCACUCUUGUCUGCCUUGUCAACAUCUCCCCGCCCCGGCCCAGCUUUCGCCCCUGGCUCUGGAGGGCUAGCCCACUGUAUGUUGGCUCCCGCAUCGUGCGUAUCCUACCGCACAAUGCGGGGGACAAUGCCUUCUCCUUGUCCUUCAAGCAUGUCGUCAACCUCGCGCUGGAGAAGCUUCCCUUGGAGCUCUGGAACAGGCCGAGCGUCGCUGCAUCCAUCGCUGGCUUCACCAGCAUCUUGCGGGUGGAGCACGCCUGCCUUUACAGCAGCGAGUUCUCGAGCAUCUUCGUGUUGGUCAAGGUUCAAACUCUCCAGCACAUUCCACAUCACCUCGCUUUCCUCCGGGUGGAUGGAGCUGGUGCGUACGCCGACAUCCUUAUUAAUGAAGUCUGGGACAUGGCACGCUCCCUCGAUGCUCCCUCCGCGACGUCGCAACCCCCGCUUGGAUCGUUUGGCAGCGAAGACGACUGCUCAGGCUUUGGAGGAAGUGGUGCCUUGCCGCACACGCUUCUGCGCCAAGGCCGCACGCGUGCAUGGGGGGCCAGCUUUGCCGCUGGGUCGUCGACCGACGAGGACGGCAUGGCCACCUGUGCAUAUCGGGCCUUCCUCUACCCGCUCAUUGCCACCCCCGACGACCUCAUGGCCAUGCUGCAGCUCUCCGUCAAGCCCAAGUUCGUCAAGUGUGCCCCCUUCUACCUCCCCAUGGCCGAGCAGAUCGCGCACGAAGAUGAGUACCGGGAUUUCCUUCGCUCUGUUCUGCUUGCGGUGGAUGCUCCCAAGCCUCGCGUCAUCAUCUCCUUCGACCCCGAUUCCAUGGCGUUCUCCUUCAAGCUUGAGCUCAGCCAUUACCGUACUGCUGCUGGAGUCAUCCCAGUGUAG
rnacentral:rRNA from 1 species